UACGAAGGGGGCUAGCGUUGCUCGGAAUUACUGGGCGUAAAGGGCGCGUAGGCGGCACUGUUAGUCAGGCGUGAAAGUCCUGGGCUCAACCUGGGAACUGCGCUUGAUACGGCAGAGCUAGAGGAUGGAAGAGGCUCGCGGAAUUCCCAGUGUAGAGGUGAAAUUCGUAGAUAUUGGGAAGAACACCGGUGGCGAAGGCGGCGACCUGGUCCGUGACUGACGCUGAGGCGCGAAAGCGUGGGGAGCAAACAGG
rnacentral:rRNA from 1 species